rnacentral:misc_RNA from 1 species
AACGCAUAUUGCGCUCUUUGGUAUUCCGAAGAGCAUGCUUGUUUGAGUAUCAGUAAACACCUCAACCUCUCUUUUUGACAAAAAAAGGAGGGUGGACUUGAGCUAUCCCAACGACCUUCACCGGUAGGCGGGCGGCUUGAAAUGCAGGUGCAGCUGGACUUUUAUCUGAGCUAAAAGCAUAUUUAUUUAGUCCUCGUCAAACAGGAUUAUUACUUUUGCUGCAGCUAACAUAAAGGAUAAUUGUCCUCUUUGCUGACUGAUGCAGGAUUUUACGACACUUUAUGUGUUGUUCAACUCGAUCUCAAAUCAAGUAAGACUACCCGCUGAACUUAA